rnacentral:rRNA from 1 species
UACAGAGGUCCCGAGCGUUGUUCGGAUUCAUUGGGCGUAAAGGGUGCGUAGGCGGCGGGGAAAGUCUGAUGUGAAAUCCUGGGGCUCAACCCUGGAACUGCAUUGGAUACUUCCUUGCUAGAGUACUGGAGAGGAAACUGGAAUUUACGGUGUAGCAGUGAAAUGCGUUAGAGAUCGUAAGGAAGACCAGUGGCGGAGGCGAGUUUCUGGACAGUUACUGACGGCUGAGGCACGAAGGCCAGGGGAGCAAACGGG